UACGAAGGGGGCUAGCGUUGUUCGGAUUCACUGGGCUUAAAGGGCGCGUAGGCGGGCCUGCAAGUCAGGGGUGAAAUCCCACGGCCCAACCGUGGAAGUGCCUCUGAUACUGCCGGCCUCGAGGGAGGUAGGGGCGUGCGGAACUCAGGGUGGAGCGGUGAAAUGCGUAGAUAUCCUGAGGAACACCGGUGGCGAAAGCGGCGCGCUGGACCUCUUCUGACGCUGAGGCGCGAAAGCCAGGGGAGCAAACGGG
rnacentral:rRNA from 1 species